GCCCUCUGGCCCUCCUUUGUGCUUAUUCUAAUUCAUGAUUCCUUACAUCCUUCUGCCCACUACAAAAUGUGCGUUCGUUCUUUUGGCCCCAGCCCUGAGAGUAGAUCCGCAUUCUCGGAGCCCUCGAGGACCCGCGGUCACCGCACGUGGGUGCUGGGCGCCCGGGGAUUGAAGGGCUUCCCUCGGUGACGCCACCGCGCCGGGGCGUGGCCCCCGAACUGCGGCCUCGGGGAGGGGAGAGAAGGGGCCCCACAGCUUCCAUCGCGACCCUCCUCUGCGGGGCCCCGGGCUUCAGCCCGGCCAAGUGCGCCUCAGGCCCGGCUCCUAUAGGCUCAGUCCCAUCCCAGACCUCGCUCGCCUUCGGGACCUCAGCCCUGGCUCAGCUUCCUCCAAGACCGACCGGAAGCUGACGAGGUCCGGCGGGUCAGUCGCCUGGUCCGCUCUGCGACCCCGCCCCUCCGUAGGCCCCGCCCUGACUCCGCCCAGUUGUGCGUCAUCUUCCCGGGACGCUGACGGAAGUGCGGUGGUGAGCGCGCCGGGUCGUGCCCGCGCUGAGCCGGGAGCCGCAAUGCUUCCCGGUGACGGGAGUGAGCGAUGAGCCGGCUUCUGUUUCUGGCCCACAGAGUCGCCUUGGCCGCCGUGCGCUGUCGCCCCGCCUCUCGUGGGUUCGGGAUGUUCUAUGCCGUGAGGAGGGGCCGCAAGACCGGGGUCUUUCUGACCUGGAAUGAGUGCAAGGCUCAGGUGGACCGGUUUCCUGCUGCCAGAUUUAAGAAGUUUGCCACAGAGGAUGAGGCCUGGGCCUUUGUCAGGAAAUCUGCAAGCCCAGAAGCUUCAGAAGGGCAGGAAAAUCAACAUGGACAAGAAUCACAGAUGAAAGCCAGCAAGAGACUCCGUGAGCCACUGGAUGGAGAUGGAGAUGAAGGUGCAGAGCCAUAUGCAAAGCACUUGAAGCCCAGUGUGGAGCCGGCGCCUCCAGUUAGCAGAGACCUGUUUUCCUACAUGGGAGACUCAGUUGUCGUCUACACGGAUGGCUGCUGCUGCAGUAAUGGGCGGAGGAGGCCACGAGCAGGAAUCGGCGUUUACUGGGGGCCGGGCCAUCCUUUAAAUGUAGGCAUUAGACUUCCCGGGCGACAGACAAACCAAAGAGCAGAAAUUCAUGCAGCCUGCAAAGCCAUUGAACAAGCAAAGGCUCAAAACAUCAGUAAACUGGUUGUGUAUACAGACAGCAUGUUUACCAUAAAUGGCAUUCUUGUAGGCAUAACUAACUGGGUUCAAGGUUGGAAGAAAAAUGGGUGGAAGACAAGUACAGGGAAAGAGGUGAUCAACAAAGAGGACUUUGUGGCACUGGAGAGGCUCACCCAGGGCAUGGACAUCCAGUGGAUGCACGUUCCUGGUCAUUCGGGGUUUAUGGGCAAUGAAGAAGCUGAUAGAUUAGCCAGAGAAGGAGCUAAACAAUCGGAAGACUGACCCAUGUGACGCUAGAGUGCAGUGGCACCAUCUCAGCUCACUGCAACCUUCACCUCCUGGAUUCAAAUGAUUCUCCUGCCUCAGCCUCCAGAGUAGCUGGGACUACCGGUGUCCACCACCGCGCCUGGCUAAUUUUUUUGUGUUUUUAGUAGAGAUGGGGUUUCUCCAUGUUGGGCCAGGCUGGUCUCCCAACUCCUGACUUCAGGUGAUCCACCCACCUCAGCCUCAUGUGGAACCUUCAGAUGUGCCCAAGCCGGCUGGAGCAGCCCACGAGAGCAGCUUCGAGCGCCCUUCCCCACCCCAUGGCCAGCACCUUCACACAGGGAGUCUGGAGGUGGCUGGAGUGGGAGGACUCACACACAGAAAUCAGCAAGUGUGCAGGUCAGGGCCGCCGUCCCCCAGAGCGGCUGUGACACGUUUACCAGCACACCUGUGGCCUUUCUACUUGUGUUAUUUGUAUCUAUUUUGGUCCGUUUCCCUAGCUAGAAAAUAAACUCCAUGUGGCAGAAGUUUUCUCUCUCUGCUCCCUUCCUGGUUCCCAGCUCCUGGAACAGAGCCAGACUUUGGCCAGGCUCAGUCAGUGCUUGCAGGAUGCCUGCUGGCCCCAAGACGUGCAGGAGAGGUGAGCUCCGAGAGGGCAGAGUCAAGCAGCCUGGCGGCUUUUUGGAGAAAAGACCUGGGUGACAGUUUCUGCGUCCUUUCCCCUCCCCUGAGGCAGCAAUUGGCUUCCCUGUGGGCACGGAGGGCUGGCCCUCACCUGGCUCUGCCCAUCAGUCCCGGCUGCGGGAAUGGGGCCUCCAUGCAACGCUUCCCGGCCUUUAUAAUGUCAGGGCGUGCCUGGAAAAUAUGAUUUCCACAGCACAUUGCGCUGAAGUGGAGGGGGCUGGGCGCAUCCCUGGGGGCCUCGGUGAAAAUGUUCAUUACAUUUAAAAAUAUUCCUCACAUGCAGUCAUGCACUGCAUAGCAACAUUUCUGUCAGCGCUGCACUGGGCGUACACCAGUGGUCCCAUCAGAUAGAAUUCCGUGUUUUGCUGAACAUUUUCUAUGCUUAGAUACACAGAUUCUUACCACUGUGUGACAGCUGCCUGCAGGAUUCAGAGCAGUGACGUGCUGUACAGGGUUACAGCGCAGAAGCCACACGCUGUACCUCAUCGCCCGGGUGUGCAGGGGGCUGUGACAUCGGGGCUGUGCAGGUGCGCGCUGUGAUGUUCACACAAUGAUGAAAUCCCCUCAGGACACCUUCCUUAGCACCUUUCCUGUCAGGUGACCAAGGCUGCUACCUGGGCCCCUGGGAGUCCAGCACUCAGUACUUUCCAGUGAGGACUGAAACGAUGAACGUUCUGAUCGGGCUGCUCUGGCUGGCACAGGAGGAGAUCACGUCCAGGUCAUAAAAAAUAUUUACACAUGAACAAAUGCCUCGAAGGUGCUGGGACCAGGCGCUGACACCAGAAGUCUGGCUGCCGGAGGUGUUAGCCGACAUGGAAGAAACACAGACUUUCCCUCCAUUCCCUGAACCCCCCUCCUGACUCACCAGCUGCAUAAAAACUCUUCACCUCUUUGUCAAGGUGGAUUUGAGAAA